CCUCCUGCAGUCUCCACUUUCCUGCCUCCCUCGCUGGGCAAGGCUCAGGGUCCAAGCUGAUGGCCUCCCGAUGCCCAGCGUGCCGCUACUUACUUUUGACAGUCCCGCUCCUCGCCCAGAAGAGUGAACUGAGGCUCAGAGAGGGCUGUCUGGGUGACAUUCCCCAACCUCAUCCUGCCCAGCACUUCCAGGACCCCUAGGAAGCUCUGUGCUGUGGCUCUGGGAAGGCAGACCUGACUCCAGCCGUCCACAGGACAUGUGCACCCCCGCAGGGUGUCUCUCACAGGACAACUGUGCCUGGAAUCCUGACCUUACCCACCCACAGCUCCUGCAGCAGCAGAGGCCAGAGCCUCAGACACAGACAGAACAAGCAUCAGCGGCUGGCUCUGCCUCUCAGGAGCCCUGUGAAUGUGGAUGAAUCCCUGACCCCAGCAUUCUCUGCAAAAUGGAGCUGCCUUCUCUGGGACAUCUCUGCUCUGUGCCGCGGACAGACUGAACCUUUGACCUUGCCCUGCAGCACGGCUCCUCCUCCAGAUUUUCCCCACCCACUGCUGUGCCCAUCCCACAGACAGGGUACACCUGUCUGUCCAUUCCUACCUCCAGAAACCUGGCUCCUCCUACCCUCCACUUCCACUCCCACUCCCAAACUCAUCCUGCCCCCGCCCAGAUGAGCUCCACCCGUGACCACUACAUUUUGUCUGGCUUUGGCUGGCAUCUGAAUCACAUCAGCUCUCUCCACUGGUGGGAAAAGCUUUUUAAAUCUCAGAUUGCUGGGCUUCACCUCAGAGGUUCCGAUUCGGUAGAUCUGAGUGUCGCCUGAGAAUGCACAUUUCUGACAAGUUCUCAGCCACACUGUCACUGCUGGUCUCGGGUCCACACGUCAGUGGUCCCUGAGCUAAACAUCUGUAAUAGUCUCCUAGUCCAGAAGACCUUUUCAGACUUCACUUGGGCCGUGUAAUUCCCUGCAGUUAGAUGUCUAAAAGUUUUCUUGGCUCUUCACUGCACUAGGAGAAAGGCUGUCUCCAUCCGCAGUACCUGUGGAUGCUGCACAAAGCUCUUUCUCCUUCUCUUCUUGUUCUUCUUUUUCCUCUCUUCCUUCUCCUCCUCCUUCUUAAUCUCCUCCUUCUCCUGCUUCUUUUUCUUCCUUUUCUUAGACAGGGUCUCACUAUAUAGUUUAGGUUCUAUUCAUUAUACAAGUCAGGCUGGCCUCCAACUCAUGGAAAUCCUCCUGCCUCAGUCUCCUGACUGCUGGGAUUAUAGGAUGCACCACCACAUCCAGGUACAAAGCUCCUUUGGAAUUCAUGCCAGCAGACUAAAACUCUACCACACCUCCUGGCUGAUGUCAUCUGCCCGCGCUCUGGUCACUUCUGUUUCUUAAGUACUUGAGUAUCUUGCUUCUCAUUUUCACUAAAUGAUUAUUUAAUUAUUUGGGCAGUGAUGGGUUUAAUACUUGUGCGUCUGCUUCCUUGACCUUCCCUCACAUAGUCUUUAGUCCUCUACUCUGCAUGACUUGAUCAUGUCAUCACCUCUGUUGAGGUUUAAGUAUGAAACGUCCCCCAAAGACUCAGUAAUGAGCAAUUUAUCCCCAACACAGCAAUGCUCAGAGGUGAGGCCUAGAGAGACGAUGGAUCAUGCAGGUUCUAAUCCACUGAUGAGUUAACUGGCCGAAUGGGCCAUGAGGAGGCAAGUCCCAGUUGUAGGAAGGGAGUCACUGAGACGUCCUCUGAAGGGCCCGUCUUGUUCCCCAUCCUCUCUUCUGGGGCUUGCUUCCUGCCUACCAUAAGGUGGGCAGCUUUCUCCAGACCCUUCUGCUAUGAUGCCCUUGACUGAAAUCUCUGAAACAGUGAACCAAAAUAAA